rnacentral:rRNA from 1 species
CCUACGGGUGGCAGCAGUGAGGAAUAUUGGUCAAUGGGCGCGAGCCUGAACCCGCCAAGUAGCGUGAAGGAUGACUGCCCUAUGGGUUGUAAACUUCUUUUAUAUAGGAAUACAGCGUUCCACGUGUGCCUUUUUGUAUGUACUUUAUGAAUAAGGAUCGGCUAACUCCGUUCCAGCAGCCGCGGUAAUACGGAGGAUCCGAGCGUUAUCCGGAUUUAUUGGGUUUAAAGGGAGCGUAGAUGGAUUGUUAAGUCAGUUGUGAAAGUUUGCGGCUCAACCGUAAAAUUGCAGUUGAUACUGGCAGUCUUGAGUACAGUAGAGGUAGGCGGAAUUCGUGGUGUAGCGGUGAAAUGCUUAGAUAUCACGAAGAACUCCGAUUGCGAAGGCAGUUCACUGGACUGCAACUGACACUGAGGCUCGAAAGUGUGGGGAUCAAACAGGAUUAGAUACCCUAGUAGUC